UGGACGAAGUCUGACGGAGCACGCCGCGUGAACGAUGAAGGCUUUCGGGUCGUAAAGUUCUGUUGUCAGGGAAGAACAAGUACCGGAGUAACUGCCGGUACCUUGACGGUACCUGACCAGAAAGCCACGGCUAACUACGUGCCAGCAGCCGCGGUAAUACGUAGGUGGCAAGCGUUGUCCGGAAUUAUUGGGCGUAAAGCGCGCGCAGGCGGUUCCUUAAGUCUGAUGUGAAAGCCCCCGGCUCAACCGGGGAGGGUCAUUGGAAACUGGGGAACUUGAGUGCAGAAGAGGAGAGCGGAAUUCCACGUGUAGCGGUGAAAUGCGUAGAGAUGUGGAGGAACACCAGUGGCGAAGGCGGCUCUCUGGUCUGUAACUGACGCUGAGGCGCGAAAGCGUGGGGAGCGAACAGGAUUAGAUACCCUGGUAGUCCACGCCGUAAACGAUGAGUGCUAAGUGUUAGAGGGUUUCCGCCCUUUAGUGCUGCAGCAAACGCAUUAAGCACUCCGCCUGGGGAGUACGGCCGCAAGGCUGAAACUCAAAGGAAUUGACGGGGGCCCGCACAAGCGGUGGAGCAUGUGGUUUAAUUCGAAGCAACGCGAAGAACCUUACCAGGUCUUGACAUCCUCUGACAACCCUAGAGAUAGGGCGUUCCCCUUCGGGGGACAGAGUGACAGGUGGUGCAUGGUUGUCGUCAGCUCGUGUCGUGAGAUGUUGGGUUAAGUCCCGCAACGAGCGCAACCCUUGAUCUUAGUUGCCAGCAUUCAGUUGGGCACUCUAAGGUGACUGCCGGUGACAAACCGGAGGAAGGUGGGGAUGACGUCAAA
rnacentral:rRNA from 1 species